GAGUAACACGUGAGUAACCUGCCCUGGACUCUGGGAUAACCCCGAGAAAUCGGAGCUAAUACCGGAUAGGACCUUUCACCGCAUGGUGGGGGGUGGAAAGUUUUUCGGUUUGGGAUGGACUCGCGGCCUAUCAGCUUGUUGGUGAGGUAAUGGCUCACCAAGGCGUCGACGGGUAGCCGGCCUGAGAGGGUGACCGGCCACACUGGGACUGAGACACGGCCCAGACUCCUACGGGAGGCAGCAGUGGGGAAUAUUGCACAAUGGGCGCAAGCCUGAUGCAGCAACGCCGCGUGGGGGAUGACGGCCUUCGGGUUGUAAACCUCUUUUAGUAAGGAAGAAGGGACUCCUUCGGGGGUUUUGACGGUACUUGCAGAAAAAGCACCGGCUAACUACGUGCCAGCAGCCGCGGUAAUACGUAGGGUGCGAGCGUUGUCCGGAAUUAUUGGGCGUAAAGAGCUCGUAGGCGGUUUGUCACGUCUGCUGUGAAAUCCCGAGGCUCAACCUCGGGUCUGCAGUGGGUACGGGCAGACUGGAGUGCGGUAGGGGAGAAUGGAAUUCCUGGUGUAGCGGUGGAAUGCGCAGAUAUCAGGAGGAACACCGAAUGGCGAAGGCAGUUCUCUGGGCCGUAACUGGACGCUGAAGA
rnacentral:rRNA from 1 species